GACUGCACCUCAUUUUGAGAGGUUCACUAUGAUGACUCAAGUUCUCAUCACAGUUGUAGUCUUGUCUCUCUGGCUUCAAGUUCAUUGUCAGGAUGUGAUUCAACACCCUGAAAUCAGCUGGAGCUAUUUGAAGAAAACUGCAGAGAUGAACUGCAGCCACACCAAAGAUAUGACCCAUAGCCAGAUGUACUGGUACAGGCAGCGUCCAGGAGAGACCAUGACCCUCAUUGUCUACACAGCUGUAGGGGUACAGCCGGACUAUGGACGGGCCCCUGAAACCAAAUACUCAGCUAAGAAAGAGAAGGCAGAGAGCGGCGCUCUUACUGUCAAUGACUUGCAGCCUGAGGACAGCGGUGUGUAUUUUUGUGCCGUCAGCAAACACAGUGAUGCAAAAAAGCAGAGCAGCUGAACAAAAACCUUGUAGGAAGCAAACUGAAACUUUUAUAUCCUUCCAGUAGGUGGAGCUGGAGCUCAAG